UACGGGGGGGGCAAGCGUUGUUCGGAAUUACUGGGCGUAAAGGGCUCGUAGGUGGCCAACUAAGUCAGACGUGAAAUCCCUCGGCUUAACCGGGGAACUGCGUCUGAUACUGGAUGGCUUGAGUGUGGGAGAGGGAUGCGGAAUUCCUGGUGUAGCAGUGAAAUGCGUAGAUAUCAGGAGGAAUACCGAUGGCGAAGGCAGGUCUCUGGGCUGACACUGACGCUCAUGCACGAAAGCGUGGGGAGCAAACAGG
rnacentral:rRNA from 1 species